rnacentral:rRNA from 1 species
CCUACGGGAGGCAGCAGUGAGGAAUAUUGGUCAAUGGGCGCGAGCCUGAACCAGCCAAGUAGCGUGAAGGAUGACUGCCCUACGGGUUGUAAACUUCUUUUAUAAAGGAAUAUAGUGAGGCAUGUGUGCCUUUUUCUCUGUACUUUAUGAAUAAGGAUCGGCUAACUCCGUGCCAGCAGCGGCGGUAAUACGGAGAAUCCGAGCGUUAUCCGGAUUUAUUGGGUUUAAAGGGAGCGUAGAUGGGUUGUUAAGUUAGUGGUGAAAGGUUGCGGAGCAACUGUAAAAUUGAAAUUGAUACUUGCAGUCUUGAGUACAGUUGAGGUAGGCGGAAUACGUGGUGUAGCGGUGAAAUGCUUGGAUAUCACGAAGAACUCCGAUUGCGAAGGCAGCUUACGAAACUGCCACUGACAUUGAUGCUCGAAAGUGUGGGUAUAAAACAGGAGUAGAGACCCCAGUAGUC